GGGGACGUUCUGGAUUAGACAGGAUGUUUGGUGUGGAUAUGCAGCGGGUCGGAGAGCUGUUCUCCGUUAUCAACGGGCAAAACAAAUUAAAUGCUAACAAUGUAAGAAAAGUAGAUUUCGCCGGCGCUUAUGCAAUGGCUGCUUAAUCUACGAUUUAGCUACUCAUAGAGCCCAGCUUGCCGGUUUUAUGGGUCCAUUAUGCAAGCGGCAAUGUGCCUGAUGCAAGGUAGGGCACACCAAGUUUACUUUGCAAGGUUUAGAGUUUCCUUUAAAUAAAACCUAGGGUUUGUUCAUAGGGUUUAGACAUUUUCCUGAACAGAUUGAGCAAAAAAUAGCCUACACUCGUAGAAGUAUAUUUGCAUCCAUUUUGGACGUGGGUUCGACUCCCACCGUCUCCACCA
rnacentral:tmRNA from 1 species